CAGACAUUAUUUUACAUAAACAGUAAUUUGAAUUAGCUAAAUAAGCUAGUUUUCUUUUGUCAUGAGCCGAGCUGGGAGGAAGCCUUAAUUGCCUUUGCAUCUUUAUCAUUGAAGUAAACAUUUUUAUCAGAGUGUUGAAGUAUGAAUGGAACGGAAAAACCAAAGACUCGGGGAAUGGAAGAGAAGUACUCGAGAACCUGCAACCUCAUACCAACUUGAAGAAUCUUGCAAUAUCCAAGUAUGGGGCGCGAGCUUCCUAAUUGGUUGCAAGAUGCCUCGUCUGGGGCCUUCAACGCCUAGGUUGUCUUGAAACACUGGUAAUCAACUGCUAUGAACUCAAGUCCUUGCCUGAAGAGGGCCUUCCUAUACCCAUGGAUAAGCUGCUAGGUGUAAACCAAAUGGUGAGAAUGCUAAGGAUUUUUCAAGGUGCCCUGCUUGUUUAUGUGCGAACUUUCUUUCUGAAAAGUUGAGGUCUAAUGAAUUUAUUUUCUUCUUAUCUUGAAUCAUUGGAGAAAGAUGUUCCAAGGCAGUGCAAUAAAUAGAAAAAUUUUAUACAAAUAUAUUGUACAAUUUUCAUUCAACACUGUAAAGGUUGCUUGUAUCAAACUUUAGUAUUUAGUAAUAAAUUAUUGAUAUAAAAAUUUUACUUGCAUAAUUUUUUUAUUAAAAGUUUUUUUAUACUAACGAGUGCUCCAAGGUGUAUUAAAAACAAGUGCCUUAAAGUUGUUCAUUACCGACUAAUAUGAAUAGUUGGAACUAAAAAUGAGAGAUAUUAAAUAUAUUUUAUCUAAAAAUAAGAUAUAUUUAUUGCAUCUUAAGCACGCCCAUUAUUUUAAUCAUUUUGGCACUAAGUUGUAGCAAAAAGUUUGUCUAUAUAAACUAAUUACUUUGAACUGUCAAAAUCUUGUGCAUUUAAUUUUUUUAAAUCUAUAUAAUAAAGUAAAAAGGUUUUUGAUUUGUAUAAUAUAAAUGUGAGAGCGAUAUUUUUUGAAUGAUUGUGAUGACUUUUCAAGAAAAUUAAUAGCUGAGAUCAACACAUUUUUUCCCCCUAAACCAUCCCAUCCUUCACACUCACACUCUUCCCUCUCUACCCAACACACACCAAAUCUUCUUCAGUGGCCUUCAAAAUUUAGAAAUCUUUAGGCAUUGGGAUUGUGGUUGAGAGAAGAAGAGAGCACAAAUGAAGAAAAAAAGAGAGAAGAAAUAGCAGGUGGCCGAGAGCAAUUGUGAGACCGCUCUGCCUCUAUCCCUCCUCUUCUCCUUCUCUUUCUUUCUCUAUCUCCCCCGCUCCUAUGGCCACUCGGACCGCCAUUGCUCCCACCUGUUGCCCACAUCGCCCCCCCCACCUAGCCACAAUCGUCGCCCCCCAAAAAACCCCUGAAACUCACCACCGUCGCCUCUACAGCCGUUCACACCCGUCGUCGCCCCCACUAGGCCAUAACACAGCUCGCCUCACCAUCCCCGUCGCCCCUACCAACGCCACUCUUUGCCAACGCCCCCAUCCAGCCAUCGCCGUCGCCCCUACCCGGCCACCGUCGUCACCUCUCGCCAACAUCACCUGAAGCUCCGCCUCCGGCUCAAAGCCAUGAAGACUUCAAGUCCAUGAAGAAUUCAAGCCCAUGAAGAAAUCAAGCCCAUGAAAAAUUAAAGUCCAUGAAGAAUUCAACUCCAUGAAGAAUUAAGGCCCAAUUUGAGCAACCCAUGGAAGAUAUUAUUUGGAGAAGGUCCAAGGAUUAUUUUUAAUCCUAAUGAAGAUUAAAAACCAAUUUAUAGAAAUCUAUUUUUAUUUUUUUAUGUGAGAGCUUUAUUAGGUGUGUUUUUUAGCUAAAAUCCAUUUAACUAUUAGGUGGAUAUUAUAGCUAAAAUCCAUUUAACUUUAUGAGUGCUUUAUUAGAUAUGUAUUUUAGCUAAAAUCCAUUUAAUAUUAGGUGUGUAUUAUAGCUAAAAUCCAUUUAACUUUAAGUGUGUGA